AGGUUAGAGCCAUUGCGCGUUAUGGUUUCGGCCCAUAAAAUUGAUUUAACCAUCACUAACCUU
rnacentral:tRNA from 1 species